rnacentral:rRNA from 1 species
AGUUGAUCAUGGCUCAGGAUGAACGCUGGCGGCGUGCUUAACACAUGCAAGUCGAACGAAGCACUGGAGAACGGAGAUUCGUCAAAGUUUCCUUGACUGAGUGGCGAACGGGUGAGUAACGCGUGAGCAACCUGCCCUUCAGAGGGGGACAACAGUUGGAAACGACUGCUAAUACCGCAUGACGUGUUUGGAAGGCAUCUUCUGAACACCAAAGGAGAAAUCCGCUGAGGGAUGGGCUCACGUCUGAUUAGCUAGUUGGCAGGGUAACGGCCUACCAAGGCGACGAUCAGUAGCCGGACUGAGAGGUUGAACGGCCACAUUGGGACUGAGAUACGGCCCAGACUCCUACGGGAGGCAGCAGUGGGGAAUAUUGGGCCAAUGGGCGAAAGCCCGACCCAGCAACGCCGCGUGAAGGAAGAAGGCCUUCGGGUUGUAAACUUCUUUUAAGAGGGACGAAGAAGUGACGGUACCUCUUGAAUAAGCCACGGCUAACUACGUGCCAGCCGCGGC